GAAUAUUGGACAAUGGGCGAAAGCCUGAUCCAGCCAUGCCGCGUGUGUGAAGAAGGUCUUCGGAUUGUAAAGCACUUUAAGUUGGGAGGAAGGGCAGUAAGCGAAUACCUUGCUGUUUUGACGUUACCGACAGAAUAAGCACCGGCUAACUCUGUGCCAGCAGCCGCGGUAAUACAGAGGGUGCAAGCGUUAAUCGGAAUUACUGGGCGGAAAGCGCGCGUAGGUGGGUCGUUAAGUUGGAUGUGAAAGCCCCGGGCUCAACCUGGGAACUGCAUCCAAAACUGGCGAGCUAGAGUAGGGCAGAGGGUGGUGGAAUUUCCUGUGUAGCGGUGAAAUGCGUAGAUAUAGGAAGGAACACCAGUGGCGAAGGCGGCUUUCUGGUCUGUAACUGACGCUGAGGCGCGAAAGCGUGGGGAGCAAACA
rnacentral:rRNA from 1 species